ACGGAAGGCAGCAGUGGGGAAUAUUGCACAAUGGGGGAAACCCUGAUGCAGCGACGCCGCGUGAGUGAAGAAGUUAUUCGUAAUGUAAAGCUCUAUCAGCAGGGAAGAAAAUGACGGUACCUGACUAAGAGGCCCCGGCUAACUACGUGCCAGCAGCCGCGGUAAUACGUAGGGGGCAAGCGUUAUCCGGAUUUACUGGGUGUAAAGGGAGCGUAGACGGUCUGGCAAGUCUGAUGUGAAAGGCAGGGGCUCAACUCCUGGACUGCAUUGGAAACUGUCAGUCUUGAGUGUCGGAGAGGUAAGCGGAAUUCCUAGUGUAGCGGUGAAAUGCGUAGAUAUUAGGAGGAACACCAGUGGCGAAGGCGGCUUACUGGACGAUAACUGACGUUGAGGCUCGAAAGCGUGGGGAGCAAACAGGAUUAGAUACCCUGGUA
rnacentral:rRNA from 1 species